rnacentral:rRNA from 1 species
GGGACACGUGGUAUCCUGUCUGAAUAUGGGGGGACCAUCCUCCAAGGCUAAAUACUCCUGACUGACCGAUAGUGAACCAGUACCGUGAGGGAAAGGCGAAAAGAACCCCGGCGAGGGGAGUGAAAAAGAACCUGAAACCGUGUACGUACAAGCAGUGGGAGCCUCUUUUAUGGGGUGACUGCGUACCUUUUGUAUAAUGGGUCAGCGACUUAUAUUCUGUAGCAAGGUUAACCGAAUAGGGGAGCCGAAGGGAAACCGAGUCUUAACUGGGCGUUAAGUUGCAGGGUAUAGACCCGAAACCCGGUGAUCUAGCCAUGGGCAGGUUGAAGGUUGGGUAACACUAACUGGAGGACCGAACCGACUAAUGUUGAAAAAUUAGCGGAUGACUUGUGGCUGGGGGUGAAAGGCCAAUCAAACCGGGAGAUAGCUGGUUCUCCCCGAAAGCUAUUUAGGUAGCGCCUCGUGAAUUCAUCUCCGGGGGUAGAGCACUGUUUCGGCAAGGGGGUCAUCCCGACUUACCAACCCGAUGCAAACUGCGAAUACCGGAGAAUGUUAUCACGGGAGACACACGGCGGGUGCUAACGUCCGUCGUGAAGAGGGAAACAACCCAGACCGCCAGCUAAGGUCCCAAAGUCAUGGUUAAGUGGGAAACGAUGUGGGAAGGCCCAGACAGCCAGGAUGUUGGCUUAGAAGCAGCCAUCAUUUAAAGAAAGCGUAAUAGCUCACUGGUCGAGUCGGCCUGCGCGGAAGAUGUAACGGGGCUAAACCAUGCACCGAAGCUGCGGCAGCGACACUAUGUGUUGUUGGGUAGGGGAGCGUUCUGUAAGCCUGUGAAGGUGUGCUGUGAGGCAUGCUGGAGGUAUCAGAAGUGCGAAUGCUGACAUAAGUAACGAUAAAGCGGGUGAAAAGCCCGCUCGCCGGAAGACCAAGGGUUCCUGUCCAACGUUAAUCGGGGCAGGGUGAGUCGACCCCUAAGGCGAGGCCGAAAGGCGUAGUCGAUGGGAAACAGGUUAAUAUUCCUGUACUUGGUGUUACUGCGAAGGGGGGACGGAGAAGGCUAUGUUGGCCGGGCGACGGUUGUCCCGGUUUAAGCGUGUAGGCUGGUUUUCCAGGCAAAUCCGGAAAAUCAAGGCUGAGGCGUGAUGACGAGGCACUACGGUGCUGAAGCAACAAAUGCCCUGCUUCCAGGAAAAGCCUCUAAGCAUCAGGUAACAUCAAAUCGUACCCCAAACCGACAC